ensembl:lncRNA
UGGAAAACAGCUAGUCAUCAUACGUGGAUUUUUGCAACAGCAAAGCCUCCUACUAAAUGAGACCAUAGUAAAGGCAGAAUUGUGUAUAAUCAGAAAAUGAAUAAAAUUUUUCUGAUCAAAAUCAAAGAAAAAGAAAAAAAUGAAAAAAAAUUCUGAUCAAUUGACUAAUAUUUUUCUUGUGUUUCAUAUUCAGGCAUAACUUCUACUUCAGAAGAAGUAACUCCUUCAUCUGGUAAUGCCCCCUGGCCACUGCACUGCAAAUGUAUGCAAAUGGGACACUAGGAUCACUCUGUCCACCACUGGGGCCGAGAGUAGGCAGGAUUGGGGGUGGUGUGGUAUCAAGUUGUCAUUGUCCUUGAGCAAGGUGACUCAUCCAGGCCGGACCCUCCACCUGGCAUGAGGUGGAAGUGGGAGGUUGGUAAGAUGGAGAGAGGACCUUCCUGGCUGGGUCCUAUCACCUGCCAUGGGUUCUGGUACCCUCAUACAUCUCUCCUUCGUAGCACUUGCUACAAUUACAAUUGACAUUUCUAUGUAUGAUCGUUCGACCUCAUCUGAACUUCCCAUGACACAGUCCUCUCUUUGAGGACAGAAAGAGCCAUAUGUGGUUUACUUGGCUGUUUUACUCCAGCUGUGGCACAGUGCCUGGCACAGAGGAGUGGGGAGUCAAUAUUUGUCAAAUAAAUGAAGGUCACGUUUUCUGUGUUCUAGGGACAGAGAAAAGAAAACAAACUAACUAUGAAACACAAUUUGUUUGCCAUCCGGGAGGUUUUGACCAAUUAACUUUUCUCGUUUCCAGAAUCUUUGAAUACCGCUCUAACUACCUCAACAGCUUCAAUCUCCACUGCCGAGACCUCCACACAAGCUUCAACUUCAGCAGAAGUGGACACACCCUCUGAUGUGACUUCCACUGCAGCUGAAGUAUCUUCUUUACCAGCCGCAGAUCUAAUUUCAACCAAAGUGACACCAUCACCUGGUAAUGAUCUUAUGCCUGUUGCUAGAUUAAUGCUUCAUUUUAUUACUUACACUACCCUAUUCUUUCAUAAACGCCAUUGUUUAUUUUUCUACCGGGAUUUCCUCUGUAUAUGUUACUGUGGAAUUACAUCUCUCAGAUAUGGCUUUUCUCUUAUCUAAAAAUAUUUCUGGGGAAACUCACUUGAUUUUCUUGGCUUUAUUUUCAACCCCUAUAAAACUGUUUUCUACAAAAUAUAAUUUUUUAAUUCUUCCUUGCAAAAUUCAGUAUAUUUAUAAAGCUUCUUUUCUCACCAUUUAAUGCAUUAUUUUAUAUCUGGGAAAUAAACAGGAUACAGCACCACUUACUACUUCCUUUUUUUUUUUUUUCUUUCCUGAGACAGGAUCUUACUCUGUUCCCAAGGCUGGAGUGCAGUGGCCUUGACCUGUUGUGCUCAAGUGAUCCUCCCACCUUCGCCUCCUGAGUAGCUAAGACUGCAGGUGUGCACCACCAUGCAGCUAAUUUUUAAAUGUUUUAUAGAUGCUGGAUCUCUCCAUGUCACCCAGGCUGAUCUUGAACUCCUGAGCUCAAGUGAUUAUCCCACCUCAGCCUCCCAAAGUGCUGGGAUUACAGGUGAGCAAGCUGUUAUUUGGUACAUUUUGAUGGUAAGAAAAUAAAACUUAAUGGAUAAUAUUUCUGCACCCAAAUCAGAGUAGGAACUUAAACAAUGUAUUAGUAUCUGAAAUUAGAGCAAAUGUUUCAUUCUUUUUCAGCUUUGUAUAUAAAUAUGAAUACA